rnacentral:lncRNA from 1 species
AGGGAAAACAUUCCUACACAUAAAAAUAAACAUGAAAAGUAAAGUGUAGGACUCAAUAAUUACUAAUACUUACAGUCACAAAAUUGUGAGCCAUCACCACUAUCACAAAAUAUUUUUUCUUACUACAAAAAGAAAUUCGUUACAAUCAUUAGCAUAUCUAAUUUCACCUUCUAUUCCCUGUAAAUACUCUCCUAUUUUCUGUCUUAACAGAACUGCCUUCUUUGGCAUUUUCAUAUAAAUGUAGAUAUAUAGCAUGUGGCCUUAUAUGUUUGGAUUCUUGACAGCAUGUUUGCAGAGUUCUUUGCAAUAGAAUGUCAAUGUAUUUUUAGUGGCUGAAUGAUGCUUUAUUCUUUCAACUUGUUAAGGACUGUAGCUCUAUAGCACAGCAGUAGAGCACUUACCUAGUUUCAGUGUAUUCAAUUGCUACUUUUUCCUUCUGUUCCUCCCUUACUACCUUUUGUGUUAACUAGCUAUUCUCUAGUGUUCCGGGUAAACUUUUCUUACUAUGUUUGUUUGUUUGUUUGUUUGUUUGAGACAGUUUUUCUGUGUAACACUAGCUAGCUGUCCUAAAACUCAGAGAUCCACCUCCCUCUCUCUCCUGAGUGCUGGGAUCAAAGGAGGACACCAGCCCUAGCAGGCCAAGUAAAUUUUUCUAAUGUGCCAUUUCGAUUCCCUUGGCUUUGUUUCUUUGUUGUUUGUUUAUUUAAGACUUGCUUUCCUUGUGUAAUUCUGAUCAGUUGCUACUGUCUAUGUAGAGUGUCUGUUCUUGCAACUGUCUAUGUAGAUUGUUCUUAGGGCAGUCUCUGACUCAGCUUCCCAGAUGCUGGGAGAGCAGGCAUGUACCCAGUCUCAAACCCUUGGGGUUUUUUGUUUGUUUGUUUGUUUUAUUUUGGGGGUUGUUUAUUUUUUAAGAUAGGGUCUCACUAUGUAUCCCUCUGUCAUUCUUGAACUCACUCUGUAGACCAGGCUUGUCUCGAACUCACAGAGAUCUGCCUACUUCUGCCUCCCAAAUACUGUACUGAAGGCAUAUAUCUUGGUUUUUGUUUUGUUUUGUUUUGUUUUAUUAGUGUGUGUGUGUAUGUGUGUGUGUUUGUGUGUACGCAUACUCAGGCACGUGUGCAUGUGACUGUAUCACCUUACCAUUUAGUGAUAUAGUUUAUAUUAAUACUAAUUAAAUUAUUAUCAGUAAUAUACAAAGGCUUUGAUUCUACUAGCUUUGUUCUGUCCCACUUACUUGUAUAUUACUGUUAUACGACUAAAUUGACUUACACUGCCUAUUAAAUUUACUUAAGUACUUAUCUGUGCCAGUGCUUUUAUACUCUUUUUGUUUUGCUUUGUUUUUGUUGUUGUUGUUGUUGUUUUUUGAGGAGUUUGAAGGUUUGCUUGUUUGUUCAUUUGUAUGUUUUUGAGACCGGUCUCAUCAUGUAGCCCUGAAAUUUUCCUCAUUGAUCAUGCUGGCCUCAAAUUCUGAGAGAUCUACCUGCCUCUGCCUCCUGGCUGCUUUUUAAUUCUUAUGAGGAUUUGAGUUUCUCUAUAAAGUCCCUUGAUCCAGGGUCCCACAUAUGUACACUCACAGGGAACUACUUCCCCAGUCCUAACAUGGGCUCUUAAGAGUCAGUCUUGUGGCAGUAGUUCAGAGCUGUUCCACUGGAGCCCAGCUGCAGUGUUGGGCAUAGGGAACGCAGACUUAGGGAAGAGGAGCACCCUCUGACCUUUCAUUGUGCCAUUUGCUUGGACCAUGAUCCCGUGCUGUAACCUUCCAAGUGUUUCAGUGUUCUUCACUGAUCUCAUUAGAUGACACAGGAAGUCUGGAGGAAGCUGGACUUGAGGUAAUUUUCCCCACCUCAUGCUGGGUGAAGCUCUUAUAAAGUCUUCCUUACUAGUGCACCACCCUUAGGUUUGGGGGAUGAUUUGAGCCUAUUUUAAAAUGGUUAGUUUCCCCCUUUUCUUGCCAGGAACAGGAAGGUUUUUCUUGGCUCUUUAUUUUCAGAGCUGUGGGGUUCCAGGAAGGGAAUAGCUUUAAGAAUGAGAGAGCCUUCCCAGACUCUAGACCCCAGAGCUUGCUUUCAGUCUACAUUUGUCUCCAGCAGUUUCUCACAAUCAUCUUUCGGUUGUUCCUGUCAGCUUAUGGUUUUAGUUUAGUGCCCUACUAAAUACAGCUCAGUGGCAGUUCUCUGUAUGUCCCUUUUGCUUAGUUUCAGGAUGGCAACUAGCUCUAUGCCCUUAUUUCUCAAUUGGUAUCCACUAAAAAUUACUGAUUUUUGGUUUGCUUAGCUUUUUGCUUUUUUCUUUUUUCUUUUCUUUUCUCUCUCUCUUUUUUUUCUGUUUUUCUUUUUUUUUGGCUUUUUUGGUUUUUUUUUUUUUUUUUUUUUUUGGUUUUUUUCGAGACAGGGUUUCUCUGUAUAGUCCUGGCUGUCCUGGAACUCACUUUGUAGACCAGGCUGGCCUUGAACUCAGAAAUCUGCCUACCUCUGCUUCCCAAGUGAUGGGAUCAAAGGUGUGCGCCACAGCUUUUUUUCUUAUAAGGCAGGCGUUGAUGACUUCAAGUUUUUUAUAUAUUGGAGCUGAAUUUGUAAAUCCUAAUUUUAUCUUUGGGAAAAAUACAUUUUUUCAGUUGAGUUUUAUAAUGUUCUUAUAGUUUACCUGAAAGAUCAGAGUGCACUUCCUCAGUCACCCAGCACAGUGAGUACAUUUAUCAAAUGUACUGUCCUUCAACGGAGAUUAACACCGACCAUGUAGCAGACAAAGAACGUCUGUAUUAAAAUUUCCUUCAGAGCAAUAUUAGGGACC